UACGUAGGUGGCAAGCGUUGUCCGGAUUUACUGGGCGUAAAGAGCGCGCAGGCGGUCGUUCAAGUCGCGUGUGAAAGCCCCCGGCUCAACUGGGGAGGGUCACGCGAUACUGAUCGACUCGAAGGCAGGAGAGGGUAGUGGAAUUCCCGGUGUAGUGGUGAAAUGCGUAGGAUAUCGGGAGGAACACCAGUGGCGAAGGCGACUACCUGGCCUGUUUCUUGACGCUGAGGCGCGAAAGCUAGGGGAGCAAACGGGG
rnacentral:rRNA from 1 species